rnacentral:rRNA from 1 species
UACGUAGGUGGCGAGCGUUGUCCGGAUUUACUGGGCGUAAAGGGAGCGUAGGCGGACUUUUAAGUGAGAUGUGAAAUACUCGGGCUCAACUUGAGUGCUGCAUUUCAAACUGGAAGCCUAGAGUGCAGGAGAGGAGAAUGGAAUUCCUAGUGUAGCGGUGAAAUGCGUAGAGAUUAGGAAGAACACCAGUGGCGAAGGCGAUUCUCUGGACUGUAACUGACGCUGAGGCUCGAAAGCGUGGGGAGCAAACAGG